AGAGUUUGAUCCUGGCUCAGGAUGAACGCUAGCGACAGGCUUAACACAUGCAAGUCGAGGGGCAGCAUAAAAGUAGCAAUACUUUGGUGGCGACCGGCGCACGGGUGAGUAACGCGUAUGCAACCUACCUAUCAGAGGGGAAUAACCCGGCGAAAGUCGGACUAAUACCGCAUAAAACAGGGGCACCGCAUGGUGAUAUUUGUUAAAGAAAUUCGCUGAUAGAUGGGCAUGCGUUCCAUUAGGUAGUUGGUGAGGUAACGGCUCACCAAGCCGACGAUGGAUAGGGGAACUGAGAGGUUGGUCCCCCACACUGGUACUGAGACACGGACCAGACUCCUACGGGAGGCAGCAGUGAGGAAUAUUGGUCAAUGGGCGGGAGCCUGAACCAGCCAAGUCGCGUGAAGGAAGAAGGAUCUAUGGUUCGUAAACUUCUUUUGCAGGGGAAUAAAGUGCAGGACGUGUCCUGUUUUGUAUGUACCCUGAGAAUAAGGAUCGGCUAACUCCGUGCCAGCAGCCGCGGUAAUACGGAGGAUCCGAGCGUUAUCCGGAUUUAUUGGGUUUAAAGGGUGCGUAGGUGGUUUGAUAAGUCAGCGGUGAAAGUUUGCAGCUUAACUGUAAAAAUGCCGUUGAAACUGUCGGACUUGAGUGUAAAUGAGGUAGGCGGAAUGCGUGGUGUAGCGGUGAAAUGCAUAGAUAUCACGCAGAACUCCGAUUGCGAAGGCAGCUCACUAAGCUACAACUGACACUGAAGCACGAAAGCGUGGGGAUCAAACAGGAUUAGAUACCCUGGUAGUCG
rnacentral:rRNA from 1 species